ensembl:lncRNA
GGUCCAGCGCUGUCUAAAGUUCACUCAGCAAAUAGUCACUAAAUGCCCCCAUGUGGGGAACCAGCCCGGGCUCGGGGCAGCUGAUUUGGGGGGGGGCCUGGAGGGAAACUCUGAGCUGGGAGUCAGCACCGCUCACGUGCUGGAGAUAAAUGAAAAAAUGAGCAAAGAUCUCUGCUCUGGGCAAGCUAUAUUCUAGCAUGGAAAGAUAACAACAAAAAAGAGAGAAAAAAAAUCAAAAAGUAAAAUAUGUCACAUUGUCAGUUGAUGAUAAAGUGCUAUGAAGUGUGAGUUUGACAGUCGAGCAUAGGAAGUACAGAAUACAGGACAGAGACUUGACAUCCGUGAACUUGACUGUAUGAUCAAGGUCAGCUUCACCAGUGGUGUGGCAUGUCAUCAUCUUGGGUUCUCUGAUAUGGAGUGACCAGAAAGGAGCAUUGCCUCGGUGGGAUCUUCCCCCAAACACGUCACCUCCUCACUCCGAUCAUGAGAAAACACCAUAUAGACCACAGCUGAGAGACCUUCAACAAAAUACCUGGCCAGCCCUACUCUUCAAAAAUGUCAAGGUCACACAAAGCAAGGAAAGCCUGAUGCUAUGGACCAAAGUCAUGUAUGGAUGUGAGAGUUGGACCAUAAAGAAGGCUGAGCACUGAAG